ACGAACGCUGGCGGCGUGCCUAACACAUGCAAGUCGAGCGGGGACAUGCGACGGAUCGGAAGUUUCGGAUGGAAGAGAAGAUGUAUGUUCUAGCGGCGGACGGGUGAGUAACGCGUGAGCAACCUGUCCUUCACAGGGGGAUAACACAGCGAAAGUUGUACUAAUACCGCAUAAGACCACAACGGGACAUCCCGAAGGGGUCAAAGGAGCAAUCCGGUGAAGGGUGGGCUCGCGUCCGAUUAGAUAGUUGGUGAGGUAACGGCCCACCAAGUCGACGAUCGGUAGCCGACCUGAGAGGGUGAUCGGCCACAUUGGGACUGAGACACGGCCCAAACUCCUACGGGAGGCAGCAGUGGGGAAUAUUGGGCAAUGGGGGGAAACCCUGACCCAGCAACGCCGCGUGAGGGAAGAAGGUUUUCGGAUCGUAAACCUCUGUCCUUGGUGAAGAGGAAGAGACGGUAGCCAAGGAGGAAGCCCCGGCUAACUACGUGCCAGCCGCGGC
rnacentral:rRNA from 1 species